rnacentral:rRNA from 1 species
GAUCCUGGCUCAGAACGAACGCUGGCGGCGCGUCUUAAGCAUGCAAGUCGAACGGCAAGAGGUAGCAAUACCUCCUAGAGUGGCGGACUGGUGAGUAACACGUGGGUGACAUACCCUUCAGAUGGGGAUAGCUAUUAGAAAUAGUAGAUAAUACCGAAUACGAGCACAGGGGUUAGAGAUCUGUGAGGAAAGGAGCUAAGGCUCCGCUGAAGGAAUGGCCUGCGGCCCAUUAGCUAGUUGGUGAGGUAAGAGCCCACCAAGGCGAUGAUGGGUAUCCGGCCUUAGAGGGUGAACGGACACAUUGGGACUGAGAUACGGCCCAGACUCCUACGGGAGGCAGCAGCUAAGAAUAUUCCGCAAUGGACGAAAGUCUGACGGAGCGACGCCGCGUGGAUGAAGAAGGCCGGAAGGUUGUAAAAUCCUUUUGAAACUGAAGAAUAAGCGUUGUAGGGAAUGACAGCGUGGUGACAGUAGGUUUUGAAUAAGCAACGGCUAAUUACGUGCCAGCCGCGGC